GCCUUAUUCUUUUAGAUCCACUUUUCUUCCUCCUGGAUCAAAGACGAAUCUGCAAUAUGCAUCAAAUAUAUCUUCAAUUAAUACAAAUCUAAAGAGGAAAUUUUCUACAAAAACAAGAGAAUAAGGACUCCUAGUAUUUUGAUUUGUAAUCUUUAAAAAUGUUAGAAGUCCAAAUUCAAUAUUGUCUUGAGUUACUUGUUUUCUUGAAGAUAACAAUAACUCAAGAUUUGAAUUGCCAUAAUUUGAAAAUGUUUGCAUAGAAUAUGGAAUGGCAAUUGGUUGGAAAGAGAAAUCAAAACUGGAAGAGUGAAUAAUGAUGGGAAAAGAUUGAAAACCUUCCCUUUUAAGAUUGGGUUCUAUGGUUGGAGUCAAAAUUGUUCUUAGUAACACUUCCUCCUUUUCUUUCUUUUCCCUUUCUUGUCUUUUCUCUUC
rnacentral:lncRNA from 1 species